rnacentral:rRNA from 1 species
GACGAACGCUGGCGGCGUGCCUAAUACAUGCAAGUCGAGCGGACCUUUUAAAAGCUUGCUUUUGAAAGGUCAGCGGCGGACGGGUGAGUAACACGUGGGCAACCUGCCUGUAAGACUGGGAUAACUUCGGGAAACCGGAGCUAAUACCGGAUAAUAUAAGGAACCUCCUGGUUCUUUAUUGAAAGAUGGUUUCGGCUAUCACUUACAGAUGGGCCCGCGGCGCAUUAGCUAGUUGGUGAGGUAACGGCUCACCAAGGCGACGAUGCGUAGCCGACCUGAGAGGGUGAUCGGCCACACUGGGACUGAGACACGGCCCAGACUCCUACGGGAGGCAGCAGUAGGGAAUCUUCCACAAUGGACGAAAGUCUGAUGGAGCAACGCCGCGUGAGCGAUGAAGGCCUUCGGGUCGUAAAGCUCUG